CUCCCUCCUUCCCAGUGGGAAUUAUUCUAUAUGUAGUUGUAGAUUUGGUGUGUCUGUCGGAGGAAGUAAGUUCAGAGGCUUUUUAUACCACCAUCUUGGACCACUCUUUUUGUAAUAUAUCGUAAGGAAUCUGAAGAUUUUUUUCACCUUGAGCAAUUUGAGUAAAUGUGAUUUUGUGAGGGUUUUUGGCAGGGGGGGUUUGCAAUGGUCUCAAGGAUAAUCUGACUUUCUCAUUUACCCUCUUACAAUAAAAUUACAGGCAUUUCGAGAGAUGAGAUAGGCGGGCCGCUCAGAAACAUUAUCCCAUCCAUCAGGAAGAGAACCCAAAUUAAGGAUUCCAAAGAUUCCAAAAAGGCAACAGUAUGGAAAAGGAGUCUGUGCUACAGAGGUGAUCUGAAUCCAGGAAAAAAUGGAAGAUGUCUAUAAUAAAAAAACUAGCAAUUUUAUGGCAGCAUUUGAAAAUUUUACCCUUUACAAGAUGAACAUGAAAAGCCACCUCCAAGGUACAGCCAAAUACAAAAUGACUUUACCAUUUACUCUCAAAGCCUAUGCCAUUGAACAGCUUUUACUGAUGGUCUGUGUGGUCCGUGUGCUUGUUUGACCCAUCAGGGUUUCUUAGAAACAUGAGAUGGACUGCAGAGCUUCAACAUUUUGACUCCCCAACUGUGUGAUCUUAGGCAUGUUACUUAACCUCUCUGUCCCAUCUAUAAAAUGGGGUUGAUAAUCGUACCUGAUUUACAGCGUUGAUAUAUGGGUUAAGUGAAUUGGUAUUUGUAAAGUGUUGAGAACGGUCCC
rnacentral:lncRNA from 1 species